CCUACGGGGGACAGCCGUGGGGAAUAUUGCACACUGGGGGAAACCCUGAUGCAGCAACGCCGCGUGAGUGAAGAAGUAUUUCGGUAUGUAAAGCUCUAUCAGCAGGGAAGAAAAUGGCGUUACCUGAGUAAGAAGCCCCGGCUAACUACGUGCCAGCAGCCGCGGUAAUACGUAGGGGGCAAGCGUUAUCCGGAUUUACUGGGUGUAAAGGGAGCGUAGACGGCGAUACAAGUCUGAAGUGAAAGCCCGGGGCUCAACCCCGGGACUGCUUUGGAAACUGUGUUGCUGGAGUGCUGGAGAGGAAAGCGGAAUUUCUAGUGUAGCGGUGAAAUGCGUAGAUAUUAGGAAGAACACCAGUGGCGAAGGCGGCUUGCUGGACAGUAACUGACGUUGAGGCUCGAAAGCGUGGGGAGCAAACAGGAUUAGAUACCCGUGUAGUC
rnacentral:rRNA from 1 species